AUUGAACGCUGGCGGCAUGCCUUACACAUGCAAGUCGAACGGCAGCACGGGAGCAAUCCUGGUGGCGAGUGGCGAACGGGUGAGUAAUAUAUCGGAACGUGCCCAGUCGUGGGGGAUAACGUAGCGAAAGCUACGCUAAUACCGCAUACGAUCUAUGGAUGAAAGCGGGGGAUCGCAAGACCUCGCGCGAUUGGAGCGGCCGAUAUCAGAUUAGGUAGUUGGUGAGGUAAAGGCUCACCAAGCCGACGAUCUGUAGCUGGUCUGAGAGGACGACCAGCCACACUGGGACUGAGACACGGCCCAGACUCCUACGGGAGGCAGCAGUGGGGGAAUUUUGGGACAAUGGGCGCAAGCCUGAUCCAGCAAUGCCGCGUGCAGGAUGAAGGCCU
rnacentral:rRNA from 1 species